GCGUCAUUUACACCCUCAAGCGUUGCUUGAUGUUGAGCGUUUGUCUGCACUGAUCGUGCGGACUCGCCCUAAAAACAUUGGCAGCAGCUUGCCGGCCUUUUGCGCAGCACUAUGCGCUCCUCGGGGCUUUGGCAAGUUAGCAUCCAUCAAGACUUCUCCACUUUGACCUCGAAUCAGGUAGGGAUACCCGCUGAACUUAA
rnacentral:misc_RNA from 1 species